CUGUAAACAGUGCUAAAGCUAUAGACCGAAACGAGACGUUAGCUUAGCUAGCAUGAGCGGCUGUUUUCAAGUAACCAUUACAGCGCCACUCUUUGUAAAACGCGGUCGACUGAAAUUUAAACAUUCACUUUACAAAUUAUUCAUAGGCGUUUUGUGGUGCACUAAAUUGCUUUACACUUCACGCAAAGCUACUGCCGAGUUGUGCAAGCUGAUCACGGUGAACGCAGAAAUGCAUUUGAAGUAGCUAAAGUUGAAAGUCCCUGUAUUGACUCCAUAGUGUUCGAAACUCCUUGAAACCGCCGGUCCAAAGACGCCUCCAGAGCGACGUUGGAGCUGCGGGGUCCGUGUCCGCUUGCAGCCCCAGAACCGGCCGCCAUCUUUCCAACACUAUCUGAGGAUCGCUCGCUGCUGCUGCUGCUGCUGCUGCGGAUGGCGCUAACGUAAUGAGGACGGACAUAAACACGCCCCCAUGUUUAAGUUUAACGAGGUAAUAAUAUUUAUAACUGUACAAAAACACAGAAUACAACGCUAUAAUAGUUUAAGUAGUUUAAUCAGCGGACACGAUCCCAACUGACGGGAAAAUGGACAGAAGUCGGUUAAAUGUUGUUUAUUUAAGGCGGUGUAACGUUACAGAGAAAUAUAGCUACAGGUGACUGAAAGAUUUUCUCGUUUCUCAAACAAAAAAAAAUGUUCUGAAAUUAUCUUUAAUGUACCUGUAUUGACUAAAAUAACGUUUAACAAUGUUGUAACAUUACCUCGGAAUUCUUCAAGGUUUACCUAAAUGGUUUAGCAGUUAUUCACUGAUGGGGUGUUUUUUUAAAUUUUUUUAUUAACUGCUUUACUCAAACAGGGAUUAUUGUCAUAUGUGGGAAAGGGGUUUCAUCACAAAAAUGACAUAAUCUGACACCAUUUCUCCUCAUCACAUAAAGCCUUGGUUAAGUGAUUUACAUCACACAGUGCAAUCUGUCAGAUCUUAUUCAAUAACAAAUAACACGAUACCUGACAGAAUAGCCUACCACCGAAGAGAUGAACACUGAUGCAGGCAUACACACAUAUACUGUCCUACAGCAACCCUGAUCUGUUACACAUUCUUGCAAAAACAUCCACACAGGUUUUUAUUGUUCCUCCUUUUCUAUGUUCAAGUCUCUUGAUUAAGUCUGUCCCCAGUUGAAGGCAGCAGUGAGGGCCACCUGGCUGUGAGGCUGCGGGUCUGUAGAGGGGGCCGCUGACUCAAACUACAUGCUCUCCAGGCAGCUUUCAAUCAUCUGUGCCGUCCAACACGCUCUGGCUAAGAGCUAGAUCCCAGUAGUGUUCUGUGCCGUGUUUCUUGAAGUGUUCUCUGGCCAUGCUCUCUGUGGGGCACUGCUUGAACUUCAUGUCGCCAAAACUACGGUCUUUAGCUGUGCCCUGGAGAACAAAAAGGAAUCAUUAGACUUGAAUGAAAUCACAAAACAAAAUAAUUAAAAUGUGUGAACACUCACCUCCCAAAUCAAA